GAUGAACGCUGGCGGCGUGCCUAAUACAUGCAAGUCGAGCGAACGGACGAGAAGCUUGCUCCCCUGAUGUUAGCGGCGGACGGGCGAGUAACACGUGGAUAACCUACCUAUAAGACUGGGAUAACUUCGUGAAACCGGAGCUAAUACCGCAUAAUAUUUUGAACCGCAUGGUUCAAAAGUGAAAGACGGUUUUGCUGUCACUUAUAGAUGGAUCCGCGCUGCAUUAGCUAGUUGGUAAGGUAACGGCUUACCAAGGCAACGAUGCAUAGCCGACCUGAGAGGGUGAUCGGCCACACUGGAACUGAGACACGGUCCAGACUCCUACGGGAGGCAGCAGUAGGGAAUCUUCCACAAUGGGCGAAAGCCUGACGGAGCAACGCCGCGUGAGUGAUGAAGGUCUUCGGAUCGUAAAACUCUGUUAUUAGGGAAGAACAUAUGUGUAAGUAACUGUGCACAUCUUGACGGUACCUAAUCAGAAAGCCACGGCUAACUACGUG
rnacentral:rRNA from 1 species